rfam:Nicotiana attenuata strain TT chromosome 3, whole genome shotgun sequence.
UGGACAAAUUAUUGUAUUCGACUGUAUUCACGGCGUGAAACAGGGGAUUACACUGUUUUUAAACGGAAAGUGAAUCAAUUAACAUAUAGACUCCU